GGGGGGACUAUAUGUUUUUCAGAUCUGGGACACAUUUGAUUUUUGAGAAGAAAUAGAUUAUUCAUUUAGCAAGAAGUACCGGUUGAGUACUGCCAAUACAAAUACUUUUUUGGGCCUGAAAAAUAGUCUUCCAUCUUUAAUGAUGACCUGGCUGAAAAGAAAACCUUGAACCUCAGAAGUUCUUGAAGAUAUGGAAGGAGAGCAAAGUGAUGUGUGUUGUAGAAAACAGAUGCCGCUGAUUUGAAUGAAGGUUCAAGCUGGGGCCUCUUCCUCAUCAGUGACAGAUGCAGCAGCGGUGUCACAGAUGUCUCCCAAAGGCACCGUCUCUCUGUGGAUGCUGCGAGUCUCCAAGACUGAGGAUGGCAACAUCAGCCCUACCGCUGCCCAAGGCCACUGCUGUUUUAUAUUGCUGCCACCACCAUCAACAUAGCCACCACCAUGAGGGGGACCAAUAAUGUCAACGGGUUUCAGCAUUUUCUCCAUCAUCACCCUUGGGACUUGGAUGUGAGUCAUCCGGAUAAGCUGAGAGACAGUCACCCUGCUUUGUUUUGUUAAUGACCACACCUUCCCUUGAACCCUGUCCCAUUAGUUUUGAACCAGCUUCUCUCUUUCCCUUUGGGAUCCGUCUGUCCCAGGAGGCUCCUCUGUUCCUCCUUAUACCACAGCUCUCCUUUCAGGCUCAGAUAUUUUGGAAUCUCAGUGUAAACACAGCUGGGACUCAGGCUGCCACGUAACACAUGCUUCUCUUAGGCUACCUUCCCAAGUGUUUACAUUCUGUGCUGGAAGAACUUGGCUCCUUCAAGAAACUCAGGGAAAGAAUCAGUACAGUUCCUAAUUUUUCACACUUUCUACCUAGUCUAGGAUUGAGCAUCUGGAUCCAAUUGGAGGUCGUUUGUCGUAAUUUAGCACUUCCUAUUAAUUUGUAAGGGAUUACUAUUGAAAUACAUAAUUUAGCAACUUCAGAUUUUACAAGCUAUGGUGAGUGCCAUACCAAAUAGGAUUUGACUGGAUUUAUUGCUGUUGAAAAGGAAAUCUUUGAUUUUGCUCCUCCUAGCGACUAUUGAUUCAUUUCAUACCAAAGUGUAUAAAAUUGGACCUAUAGAAAACAUUUUCUUCCCUCGUUCUGGUUGGAAUAAAUGUUUUCACUUCAUGAAAU